UGCUCCGUGGCGGCGUGGCACACAUCGUGGCCACGUGUCUCCCUCUGAUUGUUUGAUGAGUCCUGUUUUCGAUGAAGCCUUUUUAGAUUUCCCGCACUUUUCAAGGUAAAAGUUUUAAUCUUUGCUUUUCCCUUCUCACUUCCUCACUUUCUUUUUUGCAAUUGGUUUUUCUGACUUCUCGGUUGUGCAUUUUGCUCUUAGUCUUCUUAGUUCCUCCCUUAUUUUCAGGUACGCCCUUUUUUUACUCCCUUUCCUUUCUAAGUUUCAUUUGUAUUCCUUUUUCUUGUUCUCCUAUUUUCCUUUUUGGGUUUUGUUAUUUUCUUCAAUGGUGGAUUCUUCUGAAAUUAGGCGCACUUCACCCUCCAUCGCCUUCUUAUUUGCUUGCUUAGGGGCGUUGGUAGAUUCCCGUAGUGAUAUGUUAGGUGCUUUUCCAUCUAGUGAUCCGUAUCCACAUAUUGGGGAUUUUGUGUGGCUGGUAGUGGUCUAGGUUUGGUGUUGAGUGACUUGUACCCACUGUUGCAUAACUCUCUAAUUUGGUUUAAAUCCAUUAGAAAGGCUUUAAGUGGGGAAAAUAUGGGGUCCGAGGUGGGAUCAGACAAUCUAGAGAGGAAUUCGUCCUCUGAUGUAGGCAUGGUUGGAGCAAGGGUAGAUACGACUACUUCUGCGCCUUCUGGUGCGCCUUUGUCCUCUCAUCCUUCUGCUUCUGAUAAACUUCGUUCUUUCCAUGCUCUCAAAGAAAAGUGUUCCUUGAAGAUAGAGGUUUUUAAUAAAUUUAGGGACAGAUUCCAAUUUCCUGAUGAGACUAGGGCUCGUCUUCCUAGGAAGGGUGAGAAGGCUUAUGCCUUUGCUUAUGGAGAGGUAUGUUUCUAUGAGGCUGUGUUUCUGUGUGGUCUCAGAUUUCCCGUCCAUCCAUUCAUCAUGGAGCUUCUUCACUACUUGAACCUUGCUCCGAGGCAGCUUAUGCCAAAUUCGUGGAGAAUCGUCAUAAGCUGCAUGGUGAUUUGGAUGAUCAUAGCUAACAGGGAUAUGAUCACGCUUAGCGAGUUCGUCCAUCUCUACCGUUUGAAAGAAUCCAAGGAGCUUGGGUAUUACGAGUUUGUACCCUGGAAUAAGAAGUCUCGUCCUGUCGUUGAUCUUCCAUCGUCCUUCUGUAACUGGAAGUCUAGGUUUUUCUUCGUGUCUAGCGAUGGUUGGGAGACUCUUUCUGAUGACUUUUGGGGGGAUGUCCCUAGGUUGCUGCGCCGGUGGGAGACCCCUCAGCUUGAGCGUCCAGAGCUUGAAGAGAAGUUCAAAGAGAGGGUUCAAGAGGCCAUCAAGUACGUGAGUACUAUUGAUGAUUUUGACGAGCUGGUUGAUCCACGCACUUUAGCUCAUCAUUGUUUGGGGUCGGAGCCAUCAGAUUACGUCCUUCGUGCAAUUGACCAGGAAUAGAAAAAACAGAUGACGACAAAAUUUAACAAGGAGAUGUAUGCUAAGAUUAAGGGGAAGAAGAACGAACCCCUUUCUGCCAUCGGACAAAAAAAGUUGAGAAUUAUAGACAAGGAAAAGGAAAAAGAGACAAUGGAGAGAGACUCGUCCACUCCUACCCCAGAUCUGGACGAAGGUCAGGCAGCUUCUCUCGGUAUUUCAAUCGAAGAAGUUGUCCGUCCUUCAAAAAAGUGAAAGACGAGAGACAAAGGGAAACAAAAGGUAGGCUUUAGUGUUUGGGAGGACGCUGGAGUAGCUAUGGACCGUGCAAACGAGCUCCUUACUCCUGGGGAGAUGAAAGAGAUUUCAAGUGUGCCUUCCCAUAAGAUGGUGAGCCGUCACGUUCACAAGCUCGUGCAGGUAUUGGGGGAAAUUAUGCACAUCACCACCCAGUAUCUGGCAAAUGAGGAAAAGGUCGUCGUGGCCAAUUCAAAGGUGGAGGCGCUAAAGGCCAAGGCUUCAGGACUACGGAAAGACUUGAUUAAUGCUAUGGACACCAACAACGUUUCUAUAGAGCAACUCAAGGUUUUGACUAAGCAGCUGGAUUCCGAGAAACAGCUGGUGAAGCAGAAGGACGAGGUUCUUACCUCAGCUGGUCAAAGGAUGAAGGUUGUCGUUGCUAAGGCCGUCCUUGCCUUUCAAUCUACUGAUGAGUAUAAUACCAUUCUAUUUCAAUGGUAUUUUAAAGGCUUCAAACUACUGAGGAGGUACCUGAUUAAACAUGGCCCAGGGACUAAUUUGGAGGAUUUAGACUUUGAGGCUGUUGAUAAGGAAAUUGAAGAGGACAAAGCGGCCCUGGCAGCUCAAGCUGCAAUGUCUAUUGGUGCGGACCCUUCUCAGGCUGAUAAGGAUGAAGACAAUGCUCCACUAACUUGAACCCGUUGUCUCUUGAAGAAGAAAUUUCUUUUUCUUUUUUUUUUCUUUUUUUUUUUUCUUUUGGAAAAUGCCUUGUAUGU